AAAGCCUCCCCCAAGGCCCCAAAUCCACACUAGAAUACAACCUCCUUCCUAGGAGGAGCACAGGCGAGGGAGGGCCGGCUCUAUGGUCCUGCAUGAAGGUACAAGAGGCGAGGGUUGGAGGUGUGUGACUCACACAGGCUGGUCAGAGGCCCCGGAGUUCAGCCUCUGUCGGGUAUUUACCUACCCAUCACCAGCCGCUGACUACGUGCUCACUGUGUACCAGGGACCUGGCCAAGGGCUUCACGUGUAAUCUCAUUUAAUUCUCACAAGAGAUGCAGAGAGGUGACGUGACUCAUCAGGUGACAUGACUCACCAGGUCACCUAGCUGGUAAGGGAUGGAACUGGGUUGUGCAUAGAGGCCUAUCUGUGUCCACAGGCAGGCUCCCAGCCACCACCCUCCAGUUCCGUGGCCCUGCUCUGGGACGUGGGAAGAUAAGAAAGAAGAAGGAGUCACAGGCAAGAUCAAGUGACCUCUCGAGGUUUCAAGACACGAAGAGACAAAGCCCAGAGCAGCUGCGGCCUGGUCCAGGCCCGGGCAUGCCUGCUGACCCCGGCUGGAUGGUGGCCUUGGAAACUGCUUCCUGCUUCAGUCAGGCCCUAGCCGCGUAACCUUGGAGGACCUGUGACAUUUCUCUUGGCCUCAGGCUCCAGGACUCAGCUGCUCCUCGUUGUCCCACCUACUGGUCCCACCUACUUUGCUCUCUCCCAGGCCUGGCUGUGGACCUGGCCCCUCCCAGCCUCCAGGAUCUGAGGGAAACAGCUGGCUCCCCUCCUCACCACACCCCGGCGGCCAUUCUCUUGGACCCCUCCCAAGGGUACCACCUAGCCCUGGGGCCUUAUCUCUCAGGAUCUGUCCCUCAGGGACUAGUCAUCACCUCUGUCCACCUCCUUCCCUUCAGCCGCCUACCUGCCCACACAGUAACACCUGAAUAUCUUCUUUCAACCUGAUCCCAGGCACAAUAUCAUAAUACAAAUAACAAUGAUGGCAAUAAUAAUGGCAGCUGUCACUCAUUUGGCAUCAUUUAAAUAGAGGCACAGAGAGGUUAAGUUAUGCCCUUAAGAACAAACAGCCAUCUCAUUCAAUUAAGCUGGUGUCUGAAUUUAGGUUGGGCUUCUGUAAAUCAAACUUCUUUGGUGUCCAGAGAUUCAGCGCCCUCCCCUGCAGCCUCCUACAACGGUCCUAGUCCCAACCAUCAGUUCUAAUUUUUGACUUCUAAUCUAUCCUCCUCUCAGCUUCUAGUCACCACCUCCCACCAACAGCCAUCCAACUAGAUGCACUACUCUCCCUCGCCACUAGGUGUCCCCUUGGAGCCACUGAUGCCCCCAAGGGGAGCUGGCCCUGCCCCGCCCCCUGGGGCCAUCAGGGCCCCCCCACAGCACAGCACAGCAGUGCACACCCCACCCCACCCUACCCCCAGCCACACAGAGCUCCUUUGUGCAACCCUCGCCCACCCCCUUCCUCCCUGGAACAGGGCACCUGGCAAGCAGGUCUGCCCCAGAACCGCCCCCUGCCAGCCCCCUGCCCUGGGUGCCAGGUGUGUGGGCGCCACCGCCAGCUCUGGCUGGACCCGAGGGUCACCCUGCCGGCGGCCCUCCCUUCCUCCCUCCGAGGUCACCCAGGGACUAAGCUUCCCGCCCUGCUCCGCCCCCCUCCCCUCCUGCCCUUGGCCCUUCCAGACUCCCGUCCUUGUCUUUCCUUCUGUCUCCCGGAGGACUCCCCUCCUCCAGCCCCACUAGGCCUUCCCUGCAGCCUCUCACCCCCGCCCACCUCCUUCCCCAGAGAGCUCCUUGUUCCACGCCCCCCCGCUCCCCGCCCAGGUCUGAAGAACUCCUCCUCCUGGAAAGUUGCUGCUGGAAAGGAAGUGACUUCAGCAAUUUGGCCACAAGGCUGGGCACUGCUGAGCCCAGCUCAGCUCAAGGCUUGCCCAACCCACCUCCAAAGCACAAAUGGAGCCACAUGUGCACAUCACUCCCACUGUGCACCCAGAACCCUGAGCACACACUUAGCCAGUGUACACACAGAUCCCCGUGUGCAUACACCGUACCAUCGCAGUGUAUUCAGAUCUUGUCUAUACACACAUCUCUCCAGUGUACACUAGCACCCUUGCACACAUGACAUCCAGUGUGGCACACACAGUAUCCCCACACCUGCCCAGUACACACCCAGAAUCCUGCAUAUUCAUACUUCCGGGUACCACAUACACAGCCCUUGAACGCUCCCCAGCCCAGUCCACUUACACAACUCUUGUAUAUUACCCCAUGUGCACGGAAGGACAGAGCCUUCCACACACACCUGCUUGCACACAAGCUUGAGUGCCCUGUACAUUUACAUUCGGAUACACACAGCCUCGCAUCCUCCCACAGCUGUACCUCCCCACCCUUACAAUCCCAGGAGACUCCACCCCCAGACCUCAGGCCCCAGGAAUGCUCCUUUGGAAGUAGGGUGGGGUCCCCAGGCAGGCUCAGCUCUAGGGAGCUUCCUGGAGCCGCAGGCUUCAUGUGUCAGUUCAGGGAGUUGCCUCUGCAGGGCAGGGCAGCUUCACCUGGCUCUGCAGCUCCUGAGCCUGGGUGGGCUAACCUGGGCCAGGAGUAGGGAGGUGGGUCCUGCCACUGCCCCCGCCCCCUCCCUGUCCUGCAAGGGCACCUUAGCAUACCUGGGCUACCCAGGCCCUCCCAGCACC
rnacentral:lncRNA from 10 species